GAUGAACGCUGGCGGCGUGCCUAAUACAUGCAAGUCGAGCGAAGCGGGGACGGGUGAGUAACACGUGGGUAACCUCCUAUAAGACUGGGAUACCUUCGGGAAACCGGAGCUAAAACGGAUACUUAUAUAUGGAUCCGCGCUGCAUUAGCUAGUUGGUAAGGUAACGGCUUACCAAGGCAACGAUGCCUAGCCGACCUGAGAGGGUGAUCGGCCACACUGGGACUGAGAAACGGCCCAGACUCCUACGGGAGGCAGCAGUAGGGAAUCUUCCGCAAUGGGCGAAAGCCUGACGGAGCAAGGCCGCGUGAGUGACGAAGGUCUUCGGAUCGUAAAGUUCUGUUAUUAGGGAAGCGUUACCUACUCAGAAAGCAACGGCUAACUACGUGCCAGCAGCCGCGGUAAUUC
rnacentral:rRNA from 1 species